rnacentral:rRNA from 1 species
UACGGAGGGUGCAAGCGUUAAUCGGAAUUACUGGGCGUAAAGCGCACGCAGGCGGUUAGGUAAGUCAGAUGUUAAAUCCCCGGGCUCAACCUGGGAACUGCAGCGGAUACUAGCAAGCUUGAGUCUCGUCGAGGGGGGUGGAAUUCCAGGUGUAGCGGUGAAAUGCGUAGAGAUCAGGAGGAAUACCGGUGGCGAAGGCGGUCCCCUGGACGAAGACUGACGCUCAGGUGCGAAAGCGAGGGGAGCAAACAGG